GGUCCCGUAGCUCAACCGGAUAGAGCACCUGCCUUCUAAGCAGGGGGUUGCAGGUUCAAGUCCUGCCGGGAUCGCCA
rnacentral:tRNA from 1 species